rnacentral:hammerhead_ribozyme from 1 species
GCACAGUUGAAGAGUCCCAUACUAGGACGAAACAACUGUCCAGUGC